UACGUAGGUGGCAAGCGUUGUCCGGAUUUAUUGGGUUUAAAGGGUGCGUAGGCGGCUUGUAAGUCAGCGGUGAAAUACUCUAGCUUAACUAGAGGGGUGCCAUUGAUACUGCGGAGCUUGAGUACAGAUGAGGUAGGCGGAAUUGACGGUGUAGCGGAUGAAAUGCAUAGAUAUCGUCAAGAACACCGAUAGCGAAGGCAGCUUACUGGGCUGUAACUGACGCUGAUGCACGAAAGUGUGGGGAUCAAACAGGA
rnacentral:rRNA from 1 species